CCGGUUCGUACACUUUUCUCGUCACAUUAGAUCAUAGAUACUACAUACACACAUGGAUAAGAAACAGGAAGUCGGUUUCCAAUUAAAGCUGUACAAGAUCAAAGGAUGAUGUCAUAUCCUGUGUGCCAUGCUCUUGGCUAAAAUGGUGGCUCUCUGAAUGCUUGAGUGUAUUUUAUAUUUUUUGAAAGUGGUCAUUUUAACCAGAUUAGAGUCAAUCAGUGUCUUUAUUGAAGAGCUAUAUUACAAAAUGUGUUGGCCUCUUGUGUGGAAUCUUCAAGAUUCCUGAUGAUUAAUUAUCGAUUAUUAGUGAUUAUUAAUAAUUAUUAUUCAUGGAUUGUCAAACUAUAAAUACAACCAUUUUAUUAUUUUUGUCACGAGUGAGUCGAGUGACGACUGUUGUUGAUACUGUUGAGAGAGAGGAAGGUCUUUGACCUAUUUCAUUCACAAAGAUAUUUGGAGUAUCGACUCCCCAACCUGAA